GCAAGCCAGUAACCUCAUGCUGAUGAGUUGCAUUAACAACUAAACAACUGUCCAUGAGUGGUUCACUGGCUUUCUCCUCU
rnacentral:sRNA from 1 species